AUUUGAUAGUGCGGGCAACUGGCACACAUUUGUUUGAACCGCUCCCAGUAUUCAUAGAGAGUUUCUCCAUUUGCCUGCCUAACCCCACAUAUUUCCUUCCUAAUGUU